rnacentral:tRNA from 1 species
AAAUAUGAAGUAAUUAAUUUUACAUUUAAUUUCGACUUAAAAAUAAAUCAUUUUUGAUUCUUAUUUA